GACGAACGCUGGCGGCGUGCUUAACACAUGCAAGUCGAACGGAAAGGCCCUGCUUUUGUGGGGUGCUCGAGUGGCGAACGGGUGAGUAACACGUGAGUAACCUGCCCUUGACUUUGGGAUAACUUCAGGAAACUGGGGCUAAUACCGGAUAGGAGCUCCUGCUGCAUGGUGGGGGUUGGAACGUUUCGGCGGUUGGGGAUGGACUCGCGGCUUAUCAGCUUGUUGGUGUGGUAGUGGCUUACCAAGGCUUUGACGGGUAGCCGGCCUGAGAGGGUGACAGGCCACAGUGGGACUGAGAUACGGCCCAGACUCCUACGGGAGGCAGGAGUGGGGAAUAUUGCACAAUGGGCGGAAGCCUGAUGCAGCAACGCCGCGUGCGGGAUGACGGUCUUCGGGUUGUAAACCGCUUUAGCCUGUGACGAAGCGUGAGUGACGGUAAUGGGUAAAGAAGCACCGGCUAACUACGU
rnacentral:rRNA from 1 species